UACGGAGGGUGCGAGCGUUGUCCGGAAUCACUGGGCGUAAAGCGCGUGUAGGCGGUCCGGUAAGUCCGCUGUGAAAGUCGGGGGCUCAACCCUCGGAUGCCGGUGGAUACUGUCGGGCUUGAGUACGGAAGAGGCGAGUGGAAUUCCUGGUGUAGCGGUGAAAUGCGCAGAUAUCAGGAGGAACACCAAUUGCGAAGGCAGCUCGCUGGGACGUUACUGACGCUGAGACGCGAAAGCGUGGGGAGCAAACAGG
rnacentral:rRNA from 1 species